rnacentral:rRNA from 1 species
AUGCUUCGCCGCGUCUACGGCGACGACGCCGCCACGACAAGCGUGGUACGGAGCCUCCUCGCCCCGGUCGCGAACCAGCUCUCCGGGUCCGGGGACACCUCCGACUUCCACCGCCGCCUCGUCCAGGUCCAACUCCGCUCGUUGAAAGGCCCAGAGGACGUGCGCGCCGCGUUCGACGGCGUCGAGGCAGUCGCGAUCUGCAUCCUCCUGAUGAGGGCGGUGGUCGUCUUCGAGACCGAAGCCGGCGCCGCGCGCGCGCUGCAGGACCCCGCCAAGGAGGCGAUCGGACCCUGCACGGCGGUCCCGUCUCUAGACUUGGCAGCCGGAUGCCAUUUCAUCCCCUACAAAAUAAUCGAGAUCUCCGCUCCCGCGGGGGCAUCCGGCGUGCCGCCGCCGCCGGAGCCAAGCAUGGAGGAUCGCGCUCGGGCGUUUCCGGAGAUGUGUGAGCUGAAGCCGAUGAUCGACUACGAUGGCCCAGCUGAGUGGAAGACCUGUAGGCCUGGCAUGACGACCAUCACGCAGUUCGCGCCGUCGGCGGAUUCGUUGGUCCACGGCCCGACGCUUGGAGGCGGCGGCUAUCUGUGGAUGCAUGGCAGGAUGGUCACGUACUACCAUGCGGAGGCCGGCAAGCCGUGCGGCAGCGAAUUCAACAAUGUGUCCAUACGACAGGAUCAAGGUAGAAUCUUCAGGUCCUAG